UACGUAGGGUGCAAGCGUUAUCCGGAAUUAUUGGGCGUAAAGAGCUCGUAGGCGGUUUGUCGCGUCUGCUGUGAAAACUGGGGGCUCAACCCCCAGCCUGCAGUGGGUACGGGCAGACUAGAGUGCGGUAGGGGAGAUUGGAAUUCCUGGUGUAGCGGUGGAAUGCGCAGAUAUCAGGAGGAACACCGAUGGCGAAGGCAGAUCUCUGGGCCGUAACUGACGCUGAGGAGCGAAAGCAUGGGUAGCGAACAGG
rnacentral:rRNA from 1 species